rnacentral:tRNA from 1 species
GGAGAGAUGGCUGAGUGGUUUAAAGCACACGCCUGGAGAGCGUGGGUGCCUAAACAGCACCGGGGGUUCGAAUCCCCCUCUCUCCGCCA